CAGCAGCCACGGUAAUACGGAGUGUGCGAGCGUUAAUCGGAAUUACUGGGCGUAAAGCGUACGCAGGCGGUUUGUUAAGUCAGAUGUGAAAUCCCCGAGCUUAACUCGGGAACUGCAUUUGAAACUGGCAGGCUAGAGUCUCGUAGAGGGGGGUAGAAUUCCAGGUGUAGCGGUGAAAUGUGUAGAGAUCUGGAGGAAUACCGGUGGCGAAGGCGGCCCCCUGGACAAAGACUGACGCUCAGGUGCGAAAGCGUGGGGAGCAAACAGGAUUAGAUACCCCAGUAGUCCCUGUCUCUUAUAC
rnacentral:rRNA from 1 species